rnacentral:rRNA from 1 species
CAUUAUUGAAAUAAACCUGAUAGGUUGUUGCUGGUUCUCUCGGGAGCAUGUGCACACUUGUCAUCUUUAUAUCUCCAMCUGUGCACCUUUGUAAAUCUGAAUAUCUUUCUGAAUGCCUGGCAUUCAGGUUUGAGGAUUGAUCUUUUUCUUUCCUUACAUUUUCAGGUUUAUGUUUUUCAUAUACCCCAAGUAUGUUAUAGAAUGUUAUAAACGGGCCUUUGUGCCUAUAAUAAAYUUAUACAACUUUCAGCAACGGAUCUCUUGGCUCUCGCAUCGAUGAAGAACGCAGCGAAAUGCGAUAAGUAAUGUGAAUUGCAGAAUUCAGUGAAUCAUCGAAUCUUUGAACGCACCUUGCGCUCCUUGGUAUUCCGAGGAGCAUGCCUGUUUGAGUGUCAUUAAUAUAUCAACCUCUUCAGCUUUUUGCAWGUUGRGUGUUGGAUGUGGGGGUAUUUUUGCUGGACUCUAUACAAUCUGAGGUCAGCUCCCCUAAAAUGCAUCAGCGAAACWAUUURUUUACUGCUCAUUGGUGUGAUAACUAUCUACGCUAUUGACGGUGAAGCAUGUUUAGCUUCUAACAGUCCAUUAACUUGGACAAUCUCUUAUUAAUGUG